CAAUAGCGUAUAUUAAAGUUGUUGCGGUUAAAAAGCUCGUAGUUGGAUUUCUGCUGAGAACGACCGGUCCGCCCUUUGGGUGUGUAUCUGGCUCUUUCUUGGCAUCUUCUUGGUGAACGUUGCUGCACUUGACUGUGUGGAGCGCUACCCAGGACUUUUACUUUGAGGAAAUUAGAGUGUUUCAAGCAGGCAUACGCCUUGAAUACAUUAGCAUGGAAUAAUAAGAUAGGACCUCGGUUCUAUUUUGUUGGUUUCUAGAGCUGAGGUAAUGAUUAAUAGGGAUAGUUGGGGGCAUUUGUAUUUCGGUGCUAGAGGUGAAAUUCUUAGAUUACCGAAAGACAAACUGCUGCGAAAGCGUCUGCCAAGGAUGUUUUCAUUGA
rnacentral:rRNA from 1 species